CUACGGGGGGCUGCAGUGAGGAAUAUUGCACAAUGGGGGGAACCCUGAUGCAGCAACGCCGCGUGGAGGAUGACGCAUUUCGGUGUGUAAACUCCUUUUAUAUGUCAAGAAAAUGACGGUAGCAUAUGAAUAAGCACCGGCUAACUCCGUGCCAGCAGCCGCGGUAAUACGGAGGGUGCAAGCGUUACUCGGAAUCACUGGGCGUAAAGGACGCGUAGGCGGGUUGGAAAGUCAGGUGUGAAAUCCUACAGCUUAACUGUAGAACUGCACUUGAAACUGGUAACCUAGAGUAUGGGAGGGGGAGAUGGAAUUAGUGGUGUAGGGGUAAAAUCCGUAGAUAUCACUAGGAAUACCUAAAGCGAAGGCGAUCUCCUGGAACAUAACUGACGCUAAGGCGUGAAAGCGUGGGGAGCAAACAGGAUUAGAUACCCGAGUAGUC
rnacentral:rRNA from 1 species